rnacentral:rRNA from 1 species
GACGAACGCUGGCGGCGUGCUUAACACAUGCAAGUCGAACGGAAAGGCCCUGCUUUUGUGGGGUGCUCGAGUGGCGAACGGGUGAGUAACACGUGAGUAACCUGCCCUUGACUUUGGGAUAACUUCAGGAAACUGGGGCUAUACCGGAUAGGAGCUCCUGCUGCAUGGUGGGGGUUGGAAAGUUUCGGCGGUUGGGGAUGGACUCGCGGCUUAUCAGCUUGUUGGUGGGGUAGUGGCUUACCGAGGCUUUGACGGGUAGCCGGCCUGAGAGGGUGACCGGCCACAUUGGGACUGAGAUACGGCCCAGACUCCUACGGGAGGCAGCAGUGGGGAAUAUUGCACAAUGGGCGGAAGCCUGAUGCAGCAACGCCGCGUGCGGGAUGACGGCCUUCGGGUUGUAAACCGCUUUCGCCUGUGACGAAGCGUGAGUGACGGUAAUGGGUAAAGAAGCACCGGCUAACUACGUG